rnacentral:rRNA from 1 species
ACGAACGCUGGCGGCGUGCUUAACCCCUGCAAGUCGAACGGAAAGGCCCUGCUUUUGUGGGGUGCUCGAGUGGCGAACGGGUGAGUAACACGUGAGUAACCUGCCCUUGACUUUGGGAUAACUUCAGGAAACUGGGGCUAAUACCGGAUAGGAGCUCCUGCUGCAUGGUGGGGGUUGGAAAGUUUCGGCGGUUGGGGAUGGACUCGCGGCUUAUCAGCUUGUUGGUGGGGUAGUGGCUUACCAAGGCUUUGACGGGUAGCCGGCCUGAGAGGGUGACCGGCCACAUUGGGACUGAGAUACGGCCCAGACUCCUACGGGAGGCAGCAGUGGGGAAUAUUGCACAAUGGGCGGAAGCCUGAUGCAGCAACGCCGCGUGCGGGAUGACGGCCUUCGGGUUGUAAACCGCUUUCGCCUGUGACGAAGCGUGAGUGACGGUAAUGGGUAAAGAAGCACCGGCUAACUACGUG